rnacentral:rRNA from 1 species
AUGGACCAAUCCAUCCCUUUUUCCCGUGCAUAUGCAUCGGACUCGGAUUACGAUGGUCCCGAUGAAGAAGUUGAUGAGGAGGGGUUCACGCCGAAGGAGGCCGAAGCAUUCAAGAAGGUAUUCGGGCGGGAUCACAAGACACCAUUGUUCAAGGAUCUUAGUCUCGUGGAUGAAGCCAUUGUGGAUGGUGGCAAAUGCAUAUCUCUUGGAGCUAGGCCAAGUUCUCAC